rnacentral:tmRNA from 1 species
GGGGCUGACCGGAAUUGACUGGUGAUGUCAAAUUAUACUGGCACGUAGUGUGAUGGUAUUAGCACACUAAAAUCCAUAUACUGAACUUUUUUAAUUGGCGAAAAUACUUACGCCGUAGCUGCUUAAGACUAAGUCUAAGCCCUACUGUCUCCCGGCACUUGUUUGUCCGAUACAAGGCCCGCAGGCAUCAGAUAAACUCGGACUCGUAGUGGUGGUGUCUAUACGCUGCUAUUAAAUUAUAUAGAAUAAGUGAGGAAUAGGUUGGUUCUAUUCCAUUUUCUCAUCGAAAAUCCAAUAGAGAACUAAACGUGUAGAAGGUAUGGUUUCGCUCACUCAGGACCAGAGUUCGAAUCUCUGCAGCUCCACUU